rnacentral:rRNA from 1 species
AUUGAACGCUGGCGGUAUGCCUUACACAUGCAAGUCGAACGGUAACGGGCUUUCGGGUGCCGACGAGGGGCGAACGGGUGAGUAAUACAUCGGAAUGUGCCCGAUCGUGGGGGAUAACGGGGCGAAAGCUUUGCUAAUUCCGCAUACGACCUACGGCUGACAGCAGGGGACAGCAAGGCAUUGUCCGGCCUGAGCCGCUGAUGGGAGACUAGGUAGUUGGUGGGAUAAAAGCUUACCAAGCCGACGAUCUGUAGCUGGUCUGAGAGGAUGAUCAGCCACACUGGGACUGAGACACGGCCCAGACUCCUACGGGAGGCAGCAGUGGGGAAUUUUGGACAAUGGGCGCAAGCCUGAUCCAGCCAUACCGCGUGGGGGAUGAAGGCCUUCGGGUUGUAAAGUGCUUUUGUAGGGAAAGAAAAGCCUUAGUUUAAUACAGGGGGGUCAUGACGGUACCGAAAGAAUAAGCACCGGCUAACUACGUG